AGUAACGCGUAGACAAUCUGCCCCUCAGUCUGGAAUAAUUCAUGGAAACGUGGACUAAUACCGGAUAAUAUCAUUUUAACGCAUGUUGAUUUGAUUAAAGACCUUGAGUUGCUGAGGGAUGAGUCUGCGUGGCAUUAGCUUGUUGGUGAGGUAACGGCUCACCAAGGCAACGAUGCCUAGCUGGUCUGAGAGGAUGAUCAGCCACACUGGGACUGAGAUACGGCCCAGACUCC
rnacentral:rRNA from 1 species